rnacentral:rRNA from 1 species
AGUGGCGGACGGGUGAGUAACGCGUGAGAAUCUGCCUUGGGGUCGGGGACAACCACUGGAAACGGUGGCUAAUACCGGAUAAGCCGAUUGGUGAAAGAUUUAUUGCCCGAAUAGGAGCUCGCGUCUGAUUAGCUAGUUGGUGAGGUAAGAGCUCACCAAGGCAGCGAUCAGUAGCUGGUCUGAGAGGACGAUCAGCCACACUGGGACUGAGACACGGCCCAGACUCCUACGGGAGGCAGCAGUGGGGAAUUUUCCGCAAUGGGCGAAAGCCUGACGGAGCAAGACCGCGUGAGGGAGGAAGGCUCUUGGGUUGUAAACCUCUUUUCUCAGGGAAGAAGCUCUGACGGUACCUGAGGAAUCAGCCUCGGCUAACUCCGUGCCAGCAGCCGCGGUAAUACGGAGGAGGCAAGCGUUAUCCGGAAUUAUUGGGCGUAAAGCGUCCGCAGGUGGCGAUUCAAGUCUGCUGUCAAAGCACGGGGCUUAACUCCGUAAAGGCAGUGGAAACUGAAUAGCUAGAGUGCCGUAGGGGUAGAGGGAAUUCCCGGUGUAGCGGUGAAAUGCGUAGAGAUCGGGAAGAACAUCGGUGGCGAAAGCGCUCUACUGGACGGCAACUGACACUCAGGGACGAAAGCUAGGGGAGCGAAUGGGAUUAGAUACCCC